AUACGGAGGGUGCAAGCGUUAAUCGGAAUUACUGGGCGUAAAGCGUGCGUAGGUGGUUUGUUAAGUUAGAUGUGAAAGCCCUGGGCUCAACCUAGGAACUGCAUUUAAAACUGGCAAACUAGAGUAUAGGAGAGGAAAGUGGAAUUUCAGGUGUAGCGGUGAAAUGCGUAGAUAUCUGAAGGAACAUCAAUGGCGAAGGCAGCUUUCUGGACUAAUACUGACACUGAGGUACGAAAGCGUGGGUAGCAAACAGGAUUAGAAACCCCGGUAGUCC
rnacentral:rRNA from 1 species